rnacentral:piRNA from 1 species
UGUGUGUUUAUUGGGUAGGGUCUGCAUGG